GUAGAACAAUUAUGAGCCUUACACUU
rnacentral:piRNA from 1 species